UACGGGGGGGGUAAGCGUUGUUCGGAAUUACUGGGCGUAAAGGGCUCGUAGGCGGCCAACUAAGUCAUACGUGAAAUCCCUCAGCUUAACUGGGGAACUGCGUGUGAUACUGGAUGGCUUGGAUUUGGGAGAGGGAUGCGGAAUUCCAGGUGUAGCGGUGAAAUGCGUAGAUAUCUGGAGGAACACCGGUGGCGAAGGCGGCAUCCUGGACCGGCAUUGACGCUGAACAGCGAAAGCCAGGGGAGCAAACGGG
rnacentral:rRNA from 1 species